GGCAGGAUGGCCGAGUUGGUUAUGGCGCCAGGUUAAGGUCACCUUAAUUCGCUAGCCUUGUGUUAGCUAAUUUCCUGGUUCGGGAAACUGAGCGUGGGUUCAAGUCCCACUCCUGUCA